UCCACUGCACUCCAGCCUGGGCAACAGAGCGAGACCCUAUCUAAAAAAGUAAAAAUAAUAAGUAAAUAAAUGAAGUGCUCUGCCCACGAUCCAAUCUCAGGGCAAGGAAUUGGCACAACCUGGAUUUGAAGGUGGGUCUCUAUGAGCCUGUGCUUCAAUCCAUCCCACUUCAUAAUCACCUCUCCACAGGCCUCCCUCCAACCACAGCUGUACAGGAAUCAAAGCUUUGGUUCUACAAUGUGAGCUGAUACCAACAGCCCCUGGAGGGAAUGUUAAAACACUGAUUCCAGGGCCCCAGCCAUGGAGUGUCUGAUUCAGUAGGUCUUAGGUAAGGUCUGAAAAUUUGCAUUUCUAACACGGUCCCAGGUGAUACUGAUGCUACUGAUUCAGGGAUCACACUUUGAGAACCGCUGAAUAGACUGCCAUUCAAGCCAAGCCAAUCCUCUUGGCUCUACCUUCAAAAUAAACCCAGAAUCCAACCACUCCUUCCCACCUGCAUCACACUCUGGUCCCAGCACCUUCAUUUCUCACCUGGAUUAGUGCAGUCACUUCCUCACUGGCUCCCUACUUCCUGGACUUCACGCCUUGUUGCUUCUUCAAUAAAAGCCCCCCAGUGGCCUUCCAUUCCUUC